AUGCCCCACUGUGCUAUACCAUUUCCCAGGCCAUUGUCGCGUCUCCUCAGCUGCUGCAGAGGCUCAUGGGUUCCCGCCAGGCCAGCUCAUUCAAACUGGCCAAUCUGUGGCGGCCUAGGGGGCAUGGCUUGGGGAGCGGACCUGAGGGCAGCAGGCUUCACUCAGGUCCACUGGCCAUCUAUUUAUUCUGGCCAUCGCUGCACUCAGCAACCCUGCACUGUCACACUAUGACAGUUCAAACUGGCCCAGUAGCAAGAAUUCAGCCAUCUAAACACUCAGAAUACUACGUUUGUGUUCCCCUCAUGAAUCUGCAAAAAUUGGUGAUGAUUUUAUGUCCGUAAGCAUGAUUAUCUUGAAGACAAUACCUCCUUGCAUAUCUAUCUAUACAGAAUCUGAUGCACAUUCUUUCUGGAGGGAAUAGCCAUCAUGGCAGCUGGCUAAUGUGUUUCACAGUCGCCUGCCAUUCAGGCAGGGAGUGGAAGUUAUCCGUAAGAGACAAUUUCUGUGGCAAAACAGGCUUUGAGUUCUGGCCAAAUUCACUACACUUCCAGCCUGAUAUUAAAUUCAAGCAAACGUCAUGAUCUUCUUAAAAGUGUGAAGGAGGAAUUUCUGCUUCCAUCAUCCAUAAGAUACACACAGUGGGAGACUGAAAGGAUUCCCUCGGCACUUCAUAAAGGAACUCAACAUGAAUAUGGAAGGAAGCCAGGUUUCUGAAACCCCUGCUUUCUUCUUAAUCCUUUAAAAAGCUUUAUAGUAUUUUUUUAUUAUAAUAACAACAGAAAACUAUACUGAAUAAUAACUUAAUUAUCACCUAGUUUUAUGUUUGCAAUGUGACUAAAUGUCUAAAGACUACCAUGCUGUUCCCAGAAUUGUUCAGGGCCCUGUUGUUUUGUUAAUAUUUAUGUAACACCCUUUAAAAAGUGAGGCCUUUAA